GGAAGUGGCCAGCGGGACAGCAGAGGAGAGGUUGUCUGCAAGGAGGCAAACCUGCUCAUUCCUGUGCUUUCUCUGCUACCAGAGAUUGGCACCUGCUCCCCAGCUGUCACUUAUGGAUUUUCCAGAAAGAACCAGCCCUAGCAACCUGCCAUCAGAUGAGUCACUUAAGCAUUUGAAUCCAAUUUCUUUCUCAGGUUAGAAAAUUCAAAGCAUUACACAGCAAGGAAUUGGCAGAGCUGGAAUUGGAAUCCAGAGCUGGUGCUCCUCUUCUGAGAAUACUGACAGUUCUUUCCCCUCCUCUCUAAACUCUUUCCAAGUCCUAAUGUCUGGGUGGCUGGAAGACCACAUGGCAGGCCACCUGGGGAGGAGAGGUACCUGAAUAGCCUGUGAUGUCCAUCGCCUUGAGGUUCCGACAUUUGAUCACUGUGAGGGUGAGCCUGCCUGCUGUGGGCAGGUAGCACAAGGAGAACAUGAUCUCUCCCAGGUCCACGCUUUCCUGCAAAGAAGCAGACGAGAGGGCAGAUGAGGGGCAUACAGCUCUCAGGGCCGCUGCUGCCAGCCACUCGGGUGCCCAGGAGAACAUUCUUUGAGGCAGAGUACCAGGUCUUCUGGACCCAAGGGUCUGGCCUUCAUGCUGGGAGUAACUGGGAAUAAAAGACAAUGAUAA